GUACUGCUGAAGAGUCCCAUAUUAGGACGAAACGGCUAUCCAGUAC
rnacentral:hammerhead_ribozyme from 1 species